rnacentral:pre_miRNA from 1 species
CUCCUGUACUAGAAGUCGAAUUGCAUUUUGCCCCCUUUACUCAAAAAUUGAGCAAAUUAGUCCUUGUAUGUUAGAUCAAGGAGGAAAUCGGCCCUUUGGUUAAAAAUUCUAUCCAUUUCUACUAUUAAAAAAUAGUCCCUAUACAUCAGCAUGAGGUAUACGUGGCAUACCACGUGGCACUGUCUGGUUAUUGCGUUAGCCACACCUGUUUUUAACAGUAUAACUGGAUGAAAUUUUUAAUAGAAAGGACAAAUUUGCUCGUUGAUUUGAUGUACAGGGAUUAAUUUAUCCAUUUCUUGAAUAGAGGCAAAAUGUAAUUUGAUUUCUAGUACAAGGGC